UACGAAGGGGGCUAGCGUUGUUCGGAAUUACUGGGCGUAAAGCGCGCGCAGGCGGUCUUCCAAGUCAGUGGUGAAAGCCCGGAGCUCAACUCCGGAACUGCCAUUGAAACUGUUAGACUUGAGGAUGAGAGAGGUGAGUGGAAUUCCCAGUGUAGAGGUGAAAUUCGUAGAUAUUGGGAAGAACACCGGUGGCGAAGGCGGGUCUCUGGGCCGAUACUGACGCUGAGGAGCGAAAGCGUGGGGAGCGAACAGG
rnacentral:rRNA from 1 species